GCUGGGGUGGCAGAGUAGCAAUUGCACGUGGCUGUAGACCACGCGUCCUUACGGACUCCGGGGGUGCAAUUCCCUCCUCCAGCACUA
rnacentral:tRNA from 2 species